rnacentral:lncRNA from 1 species
CUGUCUUUUUACCUGUCUCUGCCUGGGGAAAAGGAGCUGCUUUCAUUGAUGGUUAUUACGGAAGCACUUGGAAGCUGAAGAUCAGCCGGAGGACUCACUGCGCUUCCCCCCACUGCCUCCCCUCCCCCGACUUACUGCCAGAAACCAACUGACUUCCAAACUUGGCCGUCUGAAAAAGAAUGUUCUCUGAUUGGCAUUCCUGGAAGCAGAAAGCAAGGCAGCUCAAGUUUUGUUCUGUUACUCAGCAUGAAAAACUUCCCAGACAGCAGGAGGAGAGGGUGCACAAAUGCUUCCAGCUCCUUGUGAAGUCUUCUUUUCCAAGACUGUCGCGUGAACUUUGAUAUGUACUACAAGAGACGAGAAAGGAAGUUUUUCAAGGUGAAGGAAAAUUAUUCCUAAUGGAAGCCUGGAUCUACAAAAGGGAAUGAAAAGCACUAGAAUGGAUAAAUGAAUAAACAUCUGGUACAUAGCUGUAUAUUCCUCAUUGUGGGUCCUUCCAGCUGUGGCAUGUGGGACGCCGCCCCAGCGUGGCCGGAUGAGCGGUGCCACGCUCGCGCCCAGGACCCGAACCAACGAAACAUGGGGCCGCCUGCAGCGGAGCGUGCGAACACAACCACUCAGCCACGGGGCCAGCCCCUCUAUGGUAACUUUUAUUACAGUAUAUUGCUAUAAUUGUUCUAUUUCAUUAUUAGUGAUUAAUAAGAGUUGUUAAUCUCUU